rnacentral:rRNA from 1 species
AUUGAACGCUAGCGGGAUGCUUAACACAUGAAAGUCGAACGAGUGGCGGACGGGUGAGUAAUAUAUCGGAACCUGCCCAGUGGAGGGGGAUAACUACUGGAAAGAGUGGCUAAUACCGCAUACUAUUGGAGCGGCCCAUAUCGGAUUAGCUAGUAGGUGGGGUAACGGCUCACCAAGGCGACGAUCCGUAGCUGGUGUGAGAGGAUGCCCAGCCACACUGGUACUGAGACACGGCCCAGACUCCUACGGGAGGCAGCAGUGGGGAAUUUUGGACAAUGGGCGAAACCCUGAUCCAGCCAUCCCGCGUGUAUGAGAAGGCCUUCGGGUUGUAAAGUACUUUUGGCAGAGAAGCGGUAUCUGCAGAAGAAGCACCGGCUAACUACGUGCCAGCAGCCGCGGUAAUUC